GCAAGGGUUCCCGAGCGGUCAAAGGGGCAACGUUCAGAGCGUUGUAACGUAAGUUUUCGCAGGUUCGAAUCCUGCCCCUUGCA
rnacentral:tRNA from 1 species